rnacentral:rRNA from 1 species
CCUACGGGUGGCUGCAGUGGGGAAUAUUGCACAAUGGGGGAAAGCCUGAAGCAGCGACGCAGCGUGAGCGAUGAAGUAUUUAGGGAUGUAAAGCUCUAUCAGCAGGGACGAAAAAAGACGGUACCUUACUAAGAAGCCCCGGCUAAAUACGUGCCAGCAGCCGCGGUAAUACGUAGGGGGCAAGCGUUAUCCGGAUUUACUGGGUUUAAAGGGAGCGUAGACGGGAAGUCAAGUCAGAGGUGAAAGGGUAGGGCUCAACCCUGUAAAUGCUUUUGGAACUGGGGUUCUAGAGUGCAGGAGAGGUAAGUGGAAUUCCUAGUGUAGCGGUGAAAUGCGUAGAUAUUAGGAGGAACACCAGUGGCGAAGGCGGCUUACUGGACUGUAACUGACGUUGAGGCUCGAAAGCGUGGGGAGCAAACAGGAUUAGAUACCCUUGUAGUC